rnacentral:rRNA from 1 species
CAAUAGCGUAUAUUAAAGUUGUUGCAGUUAGAACGCUCGUAGUCGGAUUUCGGGGCGGGUCGACCGGUCUGCCGAUGGGUACGCACUGGCCGACGCGUCCUUCCUUCCGGAGACCGUCCCUACUCUUAACUGAGCGGGGGCGGGAGACGGAACGUUUACUUUGAAAAAAUCAGAGUGUUUCAAGCAGGCAUCUCGCUCUUGCAUGGAUUAGCAUGGGAUAAUGAAAUAGGACUUUGGUGCUAUUUUGUUGGUUUCGAACACCGAAGUAAUGAUGAGAAGGGACAGUCAGGGGCACUCGUAUUCCGCCGAGAGAGGUGAAAUUCUCAGACCAGCGGAAGACGAACCACUGCGAAAGCAUUUGCCAGGGAUGUUUNCACUGA